rnacentral:lncRNA from 1 species
UAUUAGUUCACAUAGGCAAUUCAUCAAGCACAUAAUGAAUAUAUUAUAUGUAGACUACAUUGCACAACAAGUAAACAUCAUGAUUCAAUUCUAGUUUCACAAUUCAAGGGUUUAAUCAUGGGUUCACAUGAAUCUACACAAAUAAUAACUAAUUCCACAUAAAAUUUAUCACCAAACAUGGAUUAGAAUUCAAUUGGUCAUUAUCAAUAUGAACAAAAGCAAACUC